GGCGAGCGCGGCGUGCGGGCUCCGAGCGGCUGCGGGCGGCCUGGGCUUCCGGGGCCAGCGCCUGGGUGGCUGCGCUGCCGCGCCCGCUGCGAGAUGGCGAUCUUGGGCGCGGAUGGGUGAGGGCGCCCGCCGCAGGAGGAGGUGCCGCUGCCGUGGCCGCCCGGCUGCCGGGAGCCGACCGGUCGCUCGGCGCCUCCCUCGAACACGGAGACGGGUCUCCUCUGCCCUGACUCUCACCCCGUCACCCGUCCCGGUCCGAGGACGCCAGCCUUCGGAUGUCUUUUUCCGACGCGUUUUUGUCACUCCCGGUUCUUCACUGACUCUGCAGCUCCCCCAACACAACCCCCACCUCCACCUUUGUGACCUGGGUUGUCUCCUCACCAGACUAUGAGCUCCUUGAAAGAGGGAAUCGUGUCUUACUCAUCUUUGUAUCCCCAGUGUCUAGCUCAGUUCCUGAUACAUUGUUUUAGCUGAAUUUUGGGACAUGGCCACUGCUUCACCAAGGUCUGAUACUAGUAAUAACCACAGUGGAAGGUUACAGUUACAGGUAACUGUCUUCUAGCAUAUGGAUAAGAUCUGCAUAUACCGAGGCAGUGGCACUUUCAUUCGGAGUAAAGAAUCUUGGUUGGGGAGUAUCUUGGGAGAGAGCAAAUCUGGGCCUUCUAUAUUAGUCCAGUGGUGUUGAGCGUAGAGGAGCUUGGAACAGUGAAGGAUGGAAGUGAGUUUUGCUAAGACCCUGAUAGCACUUCAGACAUAACAUUGAAUAUUUCCUGAUUGCUUUAUGUUGACAGUACUAAAAUAUGGUAUUUGCUUUGAAUCUCUUUUGUUAUUCCUUAAAUAUUAAUUGAGGACUACUAUAUUUCAAGCACUUUACCUCUGCUGAAGCAUUUAUCACAUUGUAUUUCAGUGAUUUAUUUGUGUGACUAUUUAUUUGGAUUACUAUGCUCUCAUAAAAGAAUGGAAGCUUACAUAGCUUUAUUUGUUUUCAUAUCCUUAACAUUUGAUGCAUGUAACAUGGAGGAGGCUUUCCUUUUCCUUAUCUCAGACCCAGGUUGUUGAUGGGUAAUUGAUUAUAUAGGGGAUCUUGAUAAGUUGUUAUGGCUUGAUAGUCAGUAUUAUGCCCUGAAAGUAUGUAGUCCCCUCUUUGAAUUCAAAUAUUUAGCCUAAGCUAGUUUUUUCACACCUCAGGUAAAUUAGACUUAAAAUUCACUUUCUUUAUAGAAAGGGUUAUGAUUAACUUUUAUAAUGACAUUUUGAUUUUAAAGUUUUUAUUUGAAAAAGCAAAUACUUCUUUUUCUUUUUGGAAACCAACUUUCUGGGUAAAACAUUAAAGUCUUUUUUAAAAAAGUACCACUGUUAUAUAAUUUCUAGAAGAUAAGUUAUUAAUACUACCUGGCAGGGGUGUUAAUAGGCCUGUUGAAUCUGAAAACACUUUCCUCUUGACCUUGAUGCAGUUUAGUAUUAAAUUCAAAUGAUGGGUGAGGAUGUGGAGAA